rnacentral:misc_RNA from 1 species
AACGCACAUUGCGCCCCUUGGUAUUCCAUGGGGCAUGCCUGUUCGAGCGUCAUUUGUACCCUCAAGCUUUGCUUGGUGUUGGGUGUUUGUCCCGCGCUUUUUGCGCAAGACUCGCCUUAAAUCAAUUGGCAGCCGGCAUGUUAGCCUGGAGCGCAGCACAUUUUGCGCCCCUUGCUUGCUUUGUUGGCCCCCAUCAAGUCCAUAUAUUUGCUCUUGACCUCGGAUCAGGUAGGGAUACCCGCUGAACUUAA